GACGAACGCUGGCGGCGUGCUUAACACAUGCAAGUCGAACGGAGAGGCCCUGCUUUUGUGGGGUGCUCGAGUGGCGAACGGGUGAGUAACACGUGAGUAACCUGCCUUUGACUUUGGGAUAACUUCAGGAAACUGGGGCUAAUACCGGAUAGGAGCUCCUGCUGCAUGGUGGGGGUUGGAAAGUUUCGGCGGUUGGGGAUGGACUCGCGGCUUAUCAGCUUGUUGGUGGGGUAGUGGCUUACCAAGGCUUUGACGGGUAGCCGGCCUGAGAGGGUGACCGGCCACAUUGGGACUGAGAUACGGCCCAGACUCCUACGGGAGGCAGCAGUGGGGAAUAUUGCACAAUGGGCGGAAGCCUGAUGCAGCAACGCCGCGUGCGGGAUGACGGCCUUCGGGUUGUAAACCGCUUUCGCCUGUGACGAAGCGUGAGUGACGGUAAUGGGUAAAGAAGCACCGGCUAACUACGUG
rnacentral:rRNA from 1 species